rnacentral:siRNA from 1 species
GGAUGACCAUGUCUGAGGAACGC